GAGAAAGUCCUUUGCCGGGAGAGGGGGUGGAUAUAAAGAUAAAAUAGAUCAUUCAAAGGGGAAAAGGGCUAAUCCAUACAGUGAGGUUUCUGAGAAGGCAGCAGGGGUGGGGGCCGGGAGGCCCAGAGUGCAGGUGGAGAGUGACCCUGGUGUGGAGUUAGCCGCUUCUCCCCAGAGGAAGGCGAGGAUGCAGAGGGUGAAAGCGGACUUGCAGACACGGUAGGAGAAAGACAGGCGCAGCCAUCUGGUAGCUUCUAUUUUCUCUGUGAAGUGGGAUGUUCAGUCAUCAGCUGAGAGGGAGGAGGAGGAACGGGCAGCUGAGAGCCAGGAGAGGGACAGCGCGAUGGGUCCUCUGGAGAGUGAGAGGGCGAGGGGGGCCACAGACACAGCGAGUGGGGAGCAUCACACCCCCUGAGCAAGGCAGGACCUGCGCGCUGGGGUGUGGCUCUCCUGGAGCAGAGAGAAAAAUAUGACCAACGUGAUGCAGUGUGACUCUCAGGAUUAUGCAGUUAUAUAAGACUUGGUCUGUUUGAAAGAUUUGAAGAAGCAAGCUACCAUGAGGUCUACAUCUUUCCACAACCUUGGUGUUGGAACCUAAUCCUCAACGUGGUGGUAGGUUUACCAUCUGAAGCAGAGAACAGCCCUCACCAGAUACUGAACCAGCUGGUGCCUUAACCUUGGACUUCCAGCCUCCAGAACUGUGAGAUGGCUUAAGCUUUCAACCUGAGGAUGAAUCUUUAAUGACAGUACUUCAGACACUUGGGACAGAACCCUAGAGGAUGGCGAUGAGCAGUCGGUCUUCACUAUGCACUUUGGACCCUGCACUGAGCCCCACGGCCUACUCUUCCUGGGCUAAGCAUUGUGCUGGAGCGGACAGGACCAUCAGCCUGAAACACUGAACACACCCAGUCACUGGACAGAAAUGAGAGGCAGCACACACUUCCGACCCAACUGCUCAGAGGCGAAGUGAUAUUUCACGCCUGAAAUAUUCAUCUCAUAAAACUCUUAAAAUAUGCUAAUUAAUGGUAAACUGGGCAGAUACUUUUCUGUUAAAGAACAGAUUACAGCACUAAGUGACCCAGGGAGAGAACCACAUUCUAAAAUGGAUACUCCAGACUAAGGUAACUUGAUACACUGCCCUUUUGACCAGAAUUUGCUGGGAAAGAAAUAAACCAUAUCAUCAUAUAGUUUGUGGUAUGUGAAGGUGAAGUGCAUUAGUUUCAACAAAACACUGAGGCACAGGCUCUCAAAAUGAAUUUUUGUAUUGCUUCCUAGAGUGAAAAGUUGUCGGAUACAUGUAGUUUGUACACUAAAAUAUUGAAAUUUCUGGGGCAUUUUGCUGUAUUACAGAGACAAGUAAAAUAUUAAAAACUGGAAUGGUUUCAGAAACACCAGAACAUAUGGUACCCAUCCUAGCAAAAUUCAUUGCCAACGCAGAAACCAAAAAUAAUUGGAAUUUUUGGUGAGGUGAAUUUGGAGACACUGCCAGAAAAUGGACUCUUCCCAUCUCUAUCCCUUCUGCUUGCAGUCUCUGGCCAAAUGCUGUCCAUGGAUGAAAAACAAGGUUUCCCAGGAGGUUGCUAAAGUAGAUGGCAUCAUGCAGUAGGACAGCCUUGCCCUGCUGAGGAGAAAUGACAAGGCACAUAUGGUGCUCAUUCCUGCAAAUGUCAACUCCUUAUUUCAAAACCAAAAAAUGAAAUAAAAUGCAUUUCAAACAUUUAUGCACAGAUCAAUCGAGAAUGUUGUUCCAAGGAUGUGAGUAGGAUGCCAUGAAGCGGUUGUCAGAGUGUCCUGCAUAUCCCCUUGAUAUCUGGACUUCUUCUAGCUGGUGGUGCAGCCAGGGAACUGACUCACGAUCACUGCAGGGCAGCAUGCCUUUCAGCUCACGCCAGGAAGACUCUGCAGAUUGACUAACUUUCUUCCAAGGGGCUGUUAAACUUUAGAUCCUUCGUGACUCACAGAGUGAAGCCUCACAAUAACCAAAGUUUAGACAACGAAAUAUCCUCAAGAGCACUUAUGAUUUUUACAAAAUAUGCAGCCUCUUUGCCUUUACCUUUAAGUGGCCAUUGGCUGUAUUAGUCAAGACAGACUAGGUUAUGCUGCAGAACAAACAGGACCUGGAAUCCUUCAACAAAGGUAUAAUUUUUGUUCAUGAUAUUUCUCCAGCACAGGUGAGCAGGUAUUGGGGGUAGUCUGCUCCACAUAGACACUCAGGAACCCAGGCUAAAUGAGGCUUUGUUGUCUGUAAUGUGGCCAGUGGCCUAGGCAACAGAAGAGCCUGCACAGACAGCUCACAUCUAUAGUUCAGACCAACAGGGCCACAUAUUACUUCUUGUAGUCCAUUGGCCAGGACUACUCAAAUGACCCCAUUUAAUGGCAGGGAGGUUUGACAUGUAGUCUUUCAUGUGCAUGGUGGAGAGAAGCACUAGUAAUAUCUGUUAGAUUUUAGUAUUUCAUCCACUUACUUGAGCCUGUACUAAAUUCUAGACCUUGUGGUGGAUAUAGAUGCAUAUAAAGUACAUUAAUUGCCCUCAAAAUCUGAAGACACCAUAUCUCAGGAUGGAAAAGGUGAGGUUUGAGACUUUGACCACCCAUACUCAAGCAAUAACAUCAUUUGGAAUAUCUGUCUCCUAAAAGAUGGAGAAUGAUUGCCCAGAGGAAUGAUUGCCCGGAGGAAGAAAGACUGGACAGUUCCUGACAUGCAAAGCCAGGAAUUUCAUAUGACCCCUACCAUCAAAGGGCUCAGCAAGCACUCUCUUACUAUACCUGCCAGAGCCCAACUACUGUGCCCUGGCAAUCAAAGCGGGGUGGGUGAUGCAGUGUUCAGAGAAGGAUGAGAAGAAGAGGACUAUGUGAAAAGCAAGAAUAUUCUGAUUGAUGACAUAUUUUAGGCUCUGAGGUAGGACUGGAUCUGCUGUCCGUCAGGCCUCAGAGCCCAAGCUAAGCCAUCAUAUUUCCUGUGACCUGCACAUAUACAUCCAGAUGACCUGAAGUAACUGAAGAAUCACAAAAGGAGUGAAAAUGGCCUGUUCCUGCCUUAACUGAUGACAUUACCUUGUGAAAUUCCUUCUCCUGGCUCAUCCUGGCUCAAAAGCUCCCCCACUGAGCUUGUGACCCCCGCCCCUGCCAGCCAGAGAACAACCCCCUUUGACUGUAAUUUUCCUUUACCUAUCCAAAUCCAAUAAAACGGCCCCACCCCUAUCUCCCUUUGCUGACUCUCUUUUUGGACUCAGCCCGCCUGCACCCAGGUGAAAUAAACAGCCUUGUUGCUCACACAAA